rnacentral:rRNA from 1 species
UACGAAGGGGGCGAGCGUUGUUCGGAUUUACUGGGCGUAAAGGGCGCGCAGGCGGUCUUGAAAGUCAGGCGUGAAAGCCCCGGGCUUAACCUGGGAAUUGCGCUUGAUACUCUGAGACUGGAGUACGGGAGAGGAGAGUGGAAUUCCCAGUGUAGCAGUGAAAUGCGUAGAUAUGCGGAGGAACACCGAUGGCGAAGGCAAUCCCCUGGGCCUGCACUGACGCUCAUGCACGAAAGCGUGGGGAGCAAACAGG